ACCGCCCGGGGAGGCACUGCAGGUGUGGCUGCUCUAUCACAUGUGUUUCAGUAGGGGGCAGAGGAUAUGUCUACGCUGUUCUGACCUACGAAGAUCUGAAUAAUUAGUUGCCUAACAUU
rnacentral:snoRNA from 1 species